rnacentral:rRNA from 1 species
GACGAACGCUGGCGGCGUGCUUAACACAUGCAAGUCGAACGGAAAGGCCCUGCUUUUGUGGGGUGCUCGAGUGGCGAACGGGUGAGUAACACGUGAGUAACCUGCCCUUGACUUUGGGAUAACUUCAGGAAACUGGGGCUAAUACCGGAUAGGAGCUCCUGCUGCAUGGUGGGGGUUGGAAAGUUUCGGCGGUUGGGGAUGGACUCGCGGCUUAUCAGCUUGUUGGUGGGGUAGUGGCUUACCAAGGCCUUGACGGGUAGCCGGCCUGAGAGGGUGACCGGCCACAUUGGGACUGAGAUACGGACCAGACUCCUACGGGAGGCAGCAGUGGGGAAUAUUGCACAAUGGGCGGAAGCCUGAUGCAGCAACGCCGCGUGCGGGAUGACGGCCUUCGGGUUGUAAACCGCUUUCGCCUGUGACGAAGCGUGAGUGACGGUAAUGGGUAAAGAAGCACCGGCUAACUACGUG